rnacentral:misc_RNA from 1 species
AACGCACCUUGCGCUCCUUGGUAUUCCGAGGAGCAUGCCUGUUUGAGUGUCAUUAAUAUAUCAACUUCUUCAGCUUUUGCUUGUUGAGUGUUGGAUGUGGGGGCCUUUUUUGCUGGUCUUUCUAAGGUCAGCUCCCCUGAAAUGCAUUAGCGGAACAAUUUGUGGACCGUUCAUUGGUGUGAUAACUAUCUACGCUAUUGACGUGAAGCAGUUCAGCUUCUAACAGUCCAUUGACUUGGACAAAUUUUCAUUAAUGUGACCUCAAAUCAGGUAGGACUACCCGCUGAACUUAA